UGUACAAUUUGAUCGGGAUCGGAAGAAUGUUUCAAAAAGUCGGGCUCAGUGAUCAAUUAAUUUAAACAACAGACCGCCAAAAUUUAACCUUGGCCUCCAUGUUGCAACGUCUGCUCUGUCUAAAGGAAGAAGUUUGUUGACCAGACAGCCUGAGAUCGUAUUGCUGUAUCAACCAAAAGAUGCAGAUACACGUAUUUCAUAUGCGCGUCUGUGCAUGAGGAGGAGAUUUCUGAAUAUUCAACUUACUGCGAUUUUAACGGGCUUAAAGCUUGGUCCAUGGAUGGUUAUGUUUGAGGAUUUGCCAAUUCGACCGCAAGUGCUGCUGCAAGAAAUUAAACAUGCAGAGACCUUACAAAUUACAAAGAAGUCUGAAGAAAAUUUUUAUUGGACAGAUGGGUGUAAAGCACAGACCUGAGAUAUAAAUUGAAUUGUGAGAAAUAUGAAUCAGGGAUGCAGGUAGAAAAUGGCAAAUGUGAUCCAGAUUGAUAAAAAAUGUCUAAAAUUUUUUCUUGUUUUGUAAAUAUUCAAUGCUAUGUCAAUUGUUAUUUUUUCCCCAAUACCUAAUAGUGUUGAACAUUUCACUCCCACUUUUGCUUAAAUAGAAUGAAUAAAUUUCCAUUUAUUUAAUAUGAAUAUUAAAAAAUGCCACAUUUUUUCCAUGAUGAACUUGUGGCUUAAAUAAGAGUUCCAGUUUUUUUUCCAUACAUGCUCCUAUUUGUUUGUCAAAGAUAUAAGAUCCAAUACAUUGCUCAUGAACAUAAUGUGUAAUUUUGUUCAUUCAUUUAUAUGUUUUUUUCUCAUAAUGAUAUAAUAAAUUGUAUAUAAUUUU